GACGGCGACGCACAGCUGAGCGCGUCACGUGACGUCCAAGGACGGCGUCGUCGGUAAACAGCGGUGUCGGAAUCGUCCGACCUGCGGCGUUUUCCCGUCGUAAACGUGCACCCCACACCGCUGCGUGCUCCUCGAGCUCCGAGCCAUUCGGAGCAAUGUCGGGGGUGCGGGUGUGCGGUUGCCUGAACUGGAGUGUCCACUGCCAGGAGGUGCAGCCCUGCGACCACCGGCACCUGGCCCCAGCAGAGGACGACCCCUUCUUCCGGGACGGGGUUGUCUGUGCAAAGCUUGCACUGCAGGGCAUUACCAAGAGACACUCGUUCCUGGAAAGGGUGCGCAGUGUGGGCGAGUGGGAGGUGCACAGCUGUCAGGGCUGCCAGCGGGAUGUGUAUGCGCAAGCCUCUGAUCGGAGCCUGCUGCUCAGUGCCGACCUUGAGAGUGACGCCAAGCAUAUCGAAGCAAUGCGGGCAUCGGCCGACUACUCCCCUUGCUUCCACAUUUUGCUGCCACCGCUAGCCGACAACAGCCAGGAGGGAGACGAUGCACCGAAUGUCACACCAGGUGUGACUGAGGGACAGGAGGAGACCGUUCUAGCACGCCUGCAUGUGCAGCAGUUGGCCGCACAGUUCCUGCAGCAGGAGCUGGAGGCCAUGGAAGCACGCCUCAGGCUUUACCAGGAGCAGCAGGCGCAGGCCCUGGAGCGGCUGCGGCUUCGCACAGCACGGGACCGUGAUGCCCUCUGGCAGGUGCUCUUCAGCAGCAGCAGCAGUGGUGGCAGCCACAAGCAGCAGGCGCCCUCUAGUGGCCGGUCUGUGGUGUCCAAUGUCAAGCAACGAGCAGCAGCACCACACGUGGCUGAUGUGAAGCGUAAAUUGGCCACCAGGGGGCAACAUGAAGGAGAGAUGUUUCGACUGGACGGUUUUGAAGAAGAUGAGGCAGCUUUCCCUUCUUCGGAAGAAGAGGACUCUGACGACGGUGCAGAUGGAGGGGGCAACAGCAGCAGCAGCAGCGCCCUGGAUGAGCCCGUGCGGCACUGUGCCUACUCACUCCCAGUCGACAUGCCAGGAUGGCGCCCUCGCGAUGAUGACCACCAGGCAGGCCGGCUUUCCUUUGCCAGUCCUAUCGCUCAGUUGCAUACGUAGCGGGCAACGCUGUAGAGGCUUAGCAAGAUUUCCUGCAGUAGCUGCAUUCACACCAUUUGCGGUGGAGCACGACCGGAUUGGUGCUGACAUCGAAGCCCUGGCUCGCAGCGUGUGCGAUGGCACCGAGAUGUUUGGGGACCUGCCUCGACCCCGGCUUAACUCGAUGCAGAGGCCCCUCUUCUGAUUUGUUUCGACUUAUUGAAUACGUGCUUGUAUACGAAUAAGAAUCUUCGUUCGUUAGA